ACUGAUUCAGAGGACAGUGGCGGACGGGUGAGUAACGCGUGAGGAACCUGCCUUUCAGAGGGGGACAACAGUUGGAAACGACUGCUAAUACCGCAUGAAGCGUAUUGAUCGCAUGGUCGAUACGCCAAAGAUUUAUCGCUGAAAGAUGGCCUCGCGUCUGAUUAGCUAGUUGGUGAGGUAACGGCCCACCAAGGCGACGAUCAGUAGCCGGACUGAGAGGUUGAACGGCCACAUUGGGACUGAGAUACGGCCCAGACUCCUACGGGAGGCAGCAGUGGGGAAUAUUGGGCAAUGGGCGCAAGCCUGACCCAGCAACGCCGCGUGAAGGAAGAAGGCUUUCGGGUUGUAAACUUCUUUUGUCGGGGACGAGAAGAAGACGGUACCUGACGAAUAAGCCACGGCUAACUACGUGCCAGCAGCCGCGGUAAUACGUAGGUGGCAAGCGUUGUCCGGAUUUACUGGGUGUAAAAGGCGUGUAGCCGGGAGGGCAAGUCAGAUGUGAAAUCCACGGGCUUAACUCGUGAACUGCAUUUGAAACUACUCUUCUUGAGUAUCGGAGAGGCAAUCGGAAUUCCUAGUGUAGCGGUGAAAUGCGUAGAUAUUAGGAGGAACACCAGUGGCGAAGGCGGAUUGCUGGA
rnacentral:rRNA from 1 species